GCGGGCGUAGCUUAGCCCGGCUAAAAGCGCCUUCCUGUCACGAAGGAGAUCAUGGGUUCAAAUCCCAUCGCCCGCG
rnacentral:tRNA from 1 species